UACCCCAUGUUGCUCAUUUGUGUACACGUUUCAGUCCAGGAAUGACCACACAGUGUACCUGGGAGUCCGUGAUGAGAAAACGUUUGGUUUAAUUGACACCAAUAGUACAAGUACCGAAUGGAAUACAAAAUUCUCUUUUCCGCGGUGUAAAAAUUCACCAAUACAUUUCCUGAAGCCAAGUAAAGAAUUGAUUGUCCUGUGCGACAAAUCUAGUGAAGGUGAAUUUAAUUUCACCGUUGUGGAAGAUGAGGUUGCAGCCGAUCCCGAUCUUAAAUAUGAUAUCUACGAGGGACUGGGACUGGCAGAAACGAACAUUGAUGGGAAAUCAACAUUUAAGAUUUCGAAUUUAUCACCAUUUACCAAUUGUAAAUGGACACAGGAUUAAAAUACCAAGA